rnacentral:rRNA from 1 species
CCAGACUCCUACGGGAGGCAGCAGUGAGGAAUAUUGGUCAAUGGGCGGAAGCCUGAACCAGCCAAGUCGCGUGAGGGAAGAAGGCCCUGCGGGUCGCAGACCUCUUUGGACGGGGAGCAAGGCCGCCGACGUGUCGGCGGAAGGAGAGUACCCGUAGAACAAGCAUCGGCUAACUCCGUGCCAGCAGCCGCGGUAAUACGGAGGAUGCGAGCGUUAUCCGGAUUUACUGGGUGUAAAGGGAGCGUAGACGGCCAGACAAGUCAGAAGUGAAAGCCCAGGGCUCAACUCUGGGACUGCUUUUGGAACUGCCGGGCUGGAGUGCAGGAGAGGUAAGCGGAAUUCCUAGUGUAGCGGUGAAAUGCGUAGAUAUUAGGAGGAACACCAGUGGCGAAGGCGGCUUACUGGACUGUAACUGACGUUGAGGCUCGAAAGCGUGGGGAGCAAACAGGAUUAGAUACCCUGGUA